GCCCCGUUGGCCUAGAGGAUAAGGCGUCGGUCUCCGGAAAUGAUUUGGAGCAAACCGAAAACCUGGGUUCGACUCCCAGACGGGGCU